UACGAAGGGGGCUAGCGUUGUUCGGAAUUACUGGGCGUAAAGCGCACGUAGGCGGACAUUUAAGUUGGAGGUGAAAGCCUUGGGCUCAACCCAAGAAUUGCCUUUGAUACUGGGGAUCUCGAGUCCGGAAGAGGUGAGUGGAACUGCGAGUGUAGAGGUGAAAUUCGUAGAUAUUCGCAAGAACACCGGUGGCGAAGGCGGGACUCUGGGCCGAUACUGACGCUGAGGAGCGAAAGCGUGGGGAGCAAACAGG
rnacentral:rRNA from 1 species